AAGUCUCAACUAUUUUCAAAUUUUUAUUUACUGUUUCCCUUCUUUGGAACUUGUGUUCAUUCUCAUUCGUUUCUAAUCUUAUAGCUUUAGUUUGAGCAAGAUCAAUUUACUUAAUUAGCAAGUUUUUAGAGCUUGUUAUGGACACGGAGGCUUGAGUUGCCAUAUUCUUGAAGGUCCUAUCUUUAUUUUUCUGGCUUGAGCCUCUAACGCAUGAGCAAUCUAUGCUCAACAAAGCUAUUCAUAGAUUCCAGGUAUGAACAGCGCUUUAGUGAGUAUCUUACCCACUUUUCUGUCGCAUCUAAGCUUGGAAAUACUUGUGCAAUAAAAAGUUGUAUUUGCAUUGAGAUACGCGUUAAAAGUAAGCAGAUUUGGCAGUAUUACAUUGGGGUUACAAAAGCAACUUGCAAAGGGGUACCUGACGACGACAUCUCAAGUUCCUGGCGGCAUGGUGUCUAGUUAAGGUAAAAAGUUCAAUUUAUAGGGGAGAGGUGCAGAACUUGCAUGUUAGCCUCCAUUACCGGAAACAAAUCUUCAUGAUACCUGGUAUCAUCAUAGGGGAAACAAAACUGUCUAAAGAAAACAACGUUUAGCUCACUCCUCCAAGGUUUCAUGCCUUAUUGGGUCCCAUGUGUCUCUCCCAGUUCUUCCAUAAAUACCCAACACUUCCUCUUCCUUCAUCCCCUUUGUUCUCUCUCUCACAGUUUAGUUUCGUUUACAUGGCAAUCCUGAAUAUGGAGGAAGAAGUUGGGUUUCAGGGUGAGGUACCUGAGAAUCAUCAGGAGUUCACUGCCACUGAAAUCCAAGAGCUUUUGUCACUCUUUCUAGUCAACGACGGGCCUCCGAGUUCCGGUUCCGAUUCACAGGGUUCGAUGCCGACCUCGGCAGCUUGUUCAACCAAUGACGACGAGAGGAAGCUGCGUCGGAUGAUAUCAAAUCGGGAGUCGGCCCGGCGGUCACGGUGUAGGAAAAAGAGGCAUUUGGAAGAUCUGACUAAUGAGGUGAACCGGUUGAUGAUCCAGAACCGGGAAUUGAAGGAUCAGCUGGGCCGGAUUCUCAGCCGCCGCCAUAUGGUUCUGAGAGAAAAUGAUUGGUUGUGGAUGGAGUCCGUGGGU